rnacentral:rRNA from 1 species
AUUGAACGCUGGCGGCAGGCCUAACACAUGCAAGUCGAGCGGAGCGGCGGACGGGUGAGUAAUGACUAGGAAUCUGCCUGGUCGUGGUGGAUAACGUCCGGAAACGGGAGCUAAUACCGCAUACUAUCAGAUGAGCCUAUGUGGGAUUAGCUUUUUGGUGGGGUAAAGGCCUACCAAGGCGACGAUCCGUAUCUGGUGUGAGAGGAUGAUCAGUCACACUGUGACUGAGACACGGCCCAGACUCCUACGCGAGGCAGCAGUGGGGAAUAUUGGACAAUGGGCGAAAGCCUGAUCCAGCCAUGCCGCGUGUGUGAAGAAGGUCUUCGGGUUGUAAAGCACUUUAAGUUGGGAGGCGUUACCAGCAGAAUAAGCACCGGCUAACUUCGUGCCAGCAGCCGCGGUAAUUC